rnacentral:rRNA from 1 species
AUUGAACGCUGGCGGCAGGCCUAACACAUGCAAGUCGAGCGAGCGGCGGACGGGUGAGUAAUGUCUGGGAAACUGCCUGAUGGAGGGGGAUAACUACUGGAAACGGUAGCUCAUACCGCAUACCCUCAGAUGUGCCCCGAUGGGAUUGGCUAGUAGGUGGGGUAACGGCUCACCUAGGCGACGAUCCCUAGCGGGUCUGAGAGGAUGACCAGCCAGACUGGACCUGUGACACGGUCAGACCUCCUACGGGAGGCAGCAGUGGGGAAUAUUGCCAAAUGGGCGCAAGCCUGAUGCAGCCAUGCCGCGUGUGUGAAGAAGGCCUUCGGGUUGUAAAGCACUUUCAGCGGGGAGGCGUUACCCGCAGAAGAAGCACCGGCUAACUCCGUGCCAGCAGCCGCGGUAAUUC